AACGAACGCUGGCGGCAGGCUUAACACAUGCAAGUCGAGCGCCCCGCAAGGGAAGCGGCAGACGGGUGAGUAACGCGUGGGAAUCUACCCAUCUCUACGGAAUAACGCAUGGAAACGUGUGCUAAUACCGUAUACGUCCUUCGGGAGAAAGAUUUAUCGGAGAUGGAUGAGCCCGCGUUGGAUUAGCUAGUUGGUGGGGUAAAGGCCUACCAAGGCGACGAUCCAUAGCUGGUCUGAGAGGAUGAUCAGCAACACUGGGACUGAGACACGGCCCGGACACCUACGGGAGGCAGCAGUGGGGAAUAUUGGACAAUGGGCGCAAGCGUGAUCCAGCCAUGCCGCGUGAGUGAUGAAGGCCCUAGGGUUGUAAAGCUCUUUCACCGGUGAAGAUAAUGACGGUAACCGGAGAAGAAGCCCCGGCUAACUUCGUGCCAGCCGCCGCAGUAAAAC
rnacentral:rRNA from 1 species